rnacentral:rRNA from 1 species
UACGUAGGGUGCAAGCGUUAAUCGGAAUUACUGGGCGUAAAGCGUGCGCAGGCGGCUUUGCAAGUCAGAUGUGAAAUCCCCGGGCUCAACCUGGGAACUGCAUUUGUGACUGCAGGGCUGGAGUACGGCAGAGGGGGAUGGAAUUCCGCGUGUAGCAGUGAAAUGCGUAGAUAUGCGGAGGAACACCGAUGGCGAAGGCAGUCCCCUGGGAUGUUACUGACGCUCAUGCACGAAAGCGUGGGGAGCAAACAGG